ACGCCUGCAUCGGCAGGCGAUCAAAUGAGUUAGAAGUUCCAUGUGGUUGCAGUUACAUAUGUCUGUGAUGAAACUGAAGAGGUUUUUGGUUCGAUAUUUCCCACCAGGUUUAAUUAUUGAAUAUGAAAAGAAUGGAGGAAAGUUUUCGAGAGUCCUUGAUUUGUUAGACUUCACAGCUGACAGUGACAUAGAGCUGGUGCUUGAAGACCUGGCUGCACGGGAAUCACUCAUUACCCAGGCACGAGCAAACAGCAUUCGACCACCGUUGCUUAGACUCCGGGAAAAGUUGAAAUGGGAUUCUUCACAUGAAUUUACACUUUCAAAAGUGCUGAGAGCUCAUGCGUUGCCACUGACAAAUGUGGCAUUCAACAAGCAUGGCUCUCGAUUUAUCACAGGAAGUUAUGAUCGUACAUGCAAAGUGUGGGAGACUUCCACAGGAAAUGAACUCAAAACACUUACAGGUCAUAAAAAUGUUGUGUACGCAAUUGAUUUCAACAAUCCAUUUGGAGACAAGGUUGCAACUGGCUCUUUUGACAAAACCUGUAAAGUUUGGAAUCCAGAAACAGGAGAAUGCUAUUAUACAUUAAAAGGACAUACAGCAGAAAUAGUCUGCGUUGCGUUCAACCCACAAAGCACUGUUUUAGCGACUGGAUCAAUGGACACGGAGGCAAGGCUAUGGGAUGUUGAAACUGGGCAGGCACUGACAUCUUUGUGUGGCCAUUCCGGAGAGGUCAUAGCCCUCUCUUUCAACUGCAGUGGAAAUGAAAUUGUAACAGGUUCAUUUGAUAGCACCGUUUGCCUGUGGGACGUUCGUAUGGGAAAGAAGGUACAUACCUUAAUUGGUCAUCGUGCAGAAAUCAGCAAUGUACAGUUUAAUUAUGAUGCUUCUGUGAUCGCCAGCGCAUCCAUGGACAGAACGUGCAAGCUGUGGGACACAGCUUCUGGCAUGUGCGUGGGAACUCUUCGGGAUCACACUGAUGAGGUGUUGGACGUGGCAUUUGACGCGACGGGACAAUAUCUUCUCACAGCGUCAGCUGAUUGUACAGGCCUUAUGUAUCGCGUGGCAACACAAUACUGCCUGGCCAAGUUCCAAGGUCAUGAGGGAGAAAUUUCAAAGAUCUCAUUUAACCCACAAGGUACCAAGGUCUUGACGGCAAGUGCAGACAAAACGGCACGGUUAUGGAGCCCAGACACUGGAGAGUGUACACAGAUACUAGAAGGUCAUGUGGAUGAAAUCUUCAGCUGUGUGUUUAACUAUGAAGGAGACACCAUCAUCACAGGGAGUAAAGACAACACAUGUCGAGUUUGGAAAUGAUGAGAAAAUUUUGGUUUUUGCGAAGUGGUUGCAGCAGCGUUUCUAUUCACCUGCAUGUUUCACUGUUUAAGCAUGACUGUUCCCAGUACUAAUAUCUAUACCUUAGUAUAUAAGUUUAUUUUGAAUUAUGUAUUAUUUUAUAAUAAUUUCUUCCUGAAACUUCUUAGCUCUUUUGAGAUAUUAAAUGAAAUUGAUUAAAAUUCAUUAGAUAAGUAUUAGUAAAGAAUACAAUAACAUCGAGCUAAAUAUACUUCUUGACAGCCAUAUUCAGGUUAAUCGAUUAAAAAAUGCACAGGCUGAUUGAGUUUGACAAGGCUGUAAUACAAUAGUGUUUAAAUGAUGUUAUUCAUUCUGCACAUUUUAUGGCAUUGUUGUAAGCACGUUUAUAAUAGUGUAAUUAUAUGAAUUAUAUGUUUGCAAAAGUGCUAAAUCUAAUAUCUAAUAUCUAUAUAACGCUGCAAAAACCAGGGUUAACUUUUUUUCAUACGUUAUCUAUAUGCUUUAAUGUGCAUUUGUUGCAUUUUUUGUAAGUGCAAAAGUCAUCUCAGCUCGUGGUUAGAAAAUGUCAAAAACUAUGCUGGGUAUUUAACAUCUGGUAAUGUUCUAUUCUUGUAGUUUAAGUGUAACCCCUGUAAUCUUUUUCUUUAACCUCUAUAGACUCACAGUUAACUCAGUCAUGUCCUUCUGUAUGUGUAAUCAGUAAAAUAAAUAAUGUCACUCUUGCAGUAGCAGUAAGUUGCAUAAGUCCACCAUC
rnacentral:misc_RNA from 1 species